AGUAUUGGGGACACCCACUAAUUUUUUUUAAGACGUUUUUUUUUACUGAAUGUCCUUGCAUAUAUGCCACGACGUCAACACCACUCAAGCACUUCAAAAGCAAAAACAGGGAAAAGUUGCGCAGAGGCCAACGCAUCUAAAAUCCAAAGAGGUCUCGGGUUCGAAUCACGGAUACCCAAAAACCAUAAUAGUUGAAUAAGGGAAAUAAUAGAAAAGUCCCGUGCUAGGCGUAUGAUUCACUAUUCAAGUUUUCCCAAAUGGCUCAAAUUUUCGUCUUCCCUCUCAGAUUCAAACCCUUCCCUUUCACUUUCCCUCAAUUUCUAUCAAAGUUUCCCGUCAAAUGGAAAUAGUUCACCUAAUUUCAUCCUAUCAAUCAACAAUUCUCUAUUCUUUCUCACCUUCAUCUCGAUGCAUCCAUCAUCACCUAGAAAACCCUAAUAUUCUUCCCUGCCAUCGAAAAUCCAAACGAGUGAAAUCCUUGCUCAAUCAAAAUUGAAGGUGCAGCGAAGAAGAAAAAAAGAAGAGGGAUAUUCAUUGCGACCAAACCCGUAGAUUGGCUGGGUCAGAUCUAACUCCUUAUGACAAGCGAGGGUCAAUGUUCGUUCUGGUCAGAGGAGAUAUAUGUUUAAUUUUAUCAAUUUUAUAUCUUGAGUUUGAUUCUUCAAAAUUCUGGCUGGACCAAUCUCUCUCAACUUCUCAGAACAUGUGCAAGGGAAGCACAGUACAAUCACCUUCAGAUAAUCAUAUAUGACUUUUCACGACCAAGGUUGAAUAUUCCACCUCGUAUGCUACCACAGACAAGGCACCCAACUACUCUCUCUUCUCCAUUCUGAAAAUUAUAUUGUGGUAAAUGUCCUGGUAGAUAUGGGAAGUGUUGGAAGGCAAGUUCUUGUUAAAAUUAUGAGGGAAAGAAAGUUGCUUUUGACCAGAGGAUCCCCAAUUUGAAGGUGGUCUACACUCUAUAGAUGGGCAUAAAAUAUAAGUGACAGAUGCAUAUCCUAUUUGUUUAUGCAUUAAAAUUUCAGAUUUAAAACUGGCUGAGAAACUUUUGCUUUGCUUCUAAAUUUCAUAACCUAUGGAUUAUUGUUUCUUACCUUCUAAUCUAAUUUUCUAAGGCUUGUGAAAGAUAAUUGACUUGGACAAGGAUGUAUUACUCUCAUUCAAUGUGUUACCAUUUUCAUAUGGUUAUUGCAGUCAGUAGUCUCCCAGUGAGUGUUCUCUUGUUUUUAGGUUUUUGCAUGGUUCUGUUCAGACAGUUCUUCUUCUUAAUAGGCAACAUAGACCUGGUCGUCUCUGUGCUAAUUAUGACUAUCAAGUGAGUAGUCUUAGAAGACUAGCAUCAGGUGUACAAGAAGAAGCUCAGCAGUGCAGGAGGAGAAAAAGGGAUGAAGAAGACAAACCUUGGGAUCUUAAAGAGGAACUACAGAGUGUGAAGGUCACCAUGAUAAGCGUCAAUGGUUCAAAAAGGAUGCAAAAGGAUAUUUCCAUUAGCCAGUAAAGGAUUUCUACCCACCUCUGAACAUAUUGGCAGCUUGCAUGGUAGCCUCUGAUCGCUCUAUUUUUGACUUCUGUAUUCAGUCUGUUUCUCCAAUUCCAGUAUAAGUAAGAAAGGUUUGGCAUUCUCAAAUGCUUGCCAUAAAAUUUACAUGAAGCAAAAUCUAUUCGGAUUGAAAAGUUCAAGACAAACUCAUGGAUGCUCAUAAUGAAUGUGAUGCGGCAAUACUUGUAAAGUUGUAGUUAGAUUAGAUUGUAACUUAUAGUUUAGUGCACUUGGGAAAAUAAAUCUGUGCUCAUUUGAUAUUGUAUUUUGGAUGUUUAUAUAUAAGUUUGGUUAGUAAUGGUGUAAAUUUGCAUAUUUUAAUUUUUUUUUUGUUUCAUGAAAAAGAUACAAGGACGUUU